CAAAACGACGCUAUUUGGAUAUAAAGAUGGAUUAUUUGGGACCAAACUUACAUUUGUUAUUGAAGUAGAAGUCCUGGGAGUGCAUUCUGACGAAGACAACAAAAGGUAAUCAAACUUUUAUAAUAGUAAAUCUGAUAUUGGUGAAGGCUAAACGUGCUGGGUGUCUAAAUAGCUAGCCCUUGAUGGCUGGGCUAUGUACUUAGAAUAUUGCAAAAUGUGCUUCAUCCGAAAAGAUAUUUUAAAAUCGGACAUAUGGAGUGCAUAGAGGAGUAAUGUAUCUAUAAUUCUUAAAAUAAUUGUUAUGCUUUUUGUGAACGUUUAUCGUGAGUAAUUUAGUAAAAUUGUUAGUAAAUUCACCGGAAGUUUGCGGGGGGUAUGCUAGUUCUGAACGUCACAUGCUAAUGUAAAAAGCUGUUUUUUGAUAUAAAUAUGAACUUGAUUGAACAGACAUGCAUGUAUUGUAUAACAUAAUGUCCUAGGUGUGUCAUCUGAUGAAGAUCAUAAAAGGUUAGUGCUGCAUUUAGCUGUGGCUUUGGGUUUAUGUGACAUUGUAUGCUAGCUUGAAAAAUGGGUGUCUGAUUAUUUCUGGCUGGGCACUCUCCUGACAUAAUCUAAUGUUUUGUUUUCGUUGUAAAGCCUUUUUGAAAUCGGACAGUGUGGUUAGAUAAACGAGAGUCUUGUCUUUAAAUAGCUGUAAAAUAGUCAUAUGUUUGAGAAAUUGAAGUAAUAGUAUUUCAAACGAUUCAAAAAUCGCGCCACUGGAUUAGACUGGCUGUUACGUAGGUGGGACGAAUUCGUCCCGCCUAGCCCAUAGAGGUUAACUACAUUGGUGUCAGGUAAUUGGACAACACCACUGAAAGCAUGUCCUGGCAGAGUUAUAGUCACAAUAAGCUGUGUUCGAGGAAUAAGCUGUGUUAGAAUACCCACACUAAAAUACUGUAUACUACAUACUUAAUGAGUAUAUAGUAUGUACUAUUAGUUCAUUAGUGCGGUUAGUAUGCGUAUUCAAACACAACUAUAGUCAGGGAUGGAAAGUGAGCUAGCCCACUAGCCCGAGGCUACUACCUUUCAGACCAGACUAGUAGAUCUACUAGCCCGAGGCUACUACCUUUCAGACCAGACUAGUAGACCCACUAGCCCGAGGCUACUACCUUUCAGACAAGAAUAGUAGACCCACUAGCCCGAGGCUACUACCUUUCAGACCAGAAUAGUAGACCCACUAGCGCGAGGCUACUACCUUUCAGACCAGACUAGUAGAUCCACUAGCCCGAGGCUAUCACCUUUCAGACAAGAAUAGUAUAAAAUGUGCCCAUCUAACCAGCUAGUCUGAGGAUAGUACACUAUAGACCAUUCACUAGAGGUAAAGAUCUAUAGAACUAUAGACCAUUCACUAGAGGAAUAGAACUAUAGACCAUUCACUAGAGGUAAAGAACUAUAGAACUAUAGACCAUUCACUAGAGGAAUAGAACUAUAGACCAUUCACUAGAGGAAUAGAACUAUGGACCAUUCACUAGAGGUAAAGAACUAUAGACCAUUCACUAGAGGUAUAGAACUAUAGAACUAUAGACCAUUCACUAGAGGAAUAGAACUAUAGACCAUUCACUAGAGGUAAAGAACUAUAGAACUAUAGACCAUUCACUAGAGGUAAAGAACUAUAGAACUAUAGACCAUUCACUAGAGGUUUAGAACUAUAGACCAUUCACUAGAGGUAUAGAACUAUAGACCAUUCACUAGAGGUAUAGAACUAUAGACCAUUCACUAGAGGUAUAGAACUAUAGAACUAUAGACCAUUCACUAGAGGUAAAGAACUAUAGAACUAUAGACCAUUCACUAGAGGUAUAGAAAUAUAGACCAUUCACUAGAGGUAAAGAACUAUAUACCAUUCACUAGAGGUAUAGAACUAUAGACCAUUCACUAGAGGUAUAGAACUAUAGACAAUUCACUAGAGGUAUAGAACUAUAGACCAUUCACUAGAGGUAUAGAACUAUAGAUCAUUCACUAGAGGUAUAGAACUAUAGAACUAUAGACCAUUCACUAGAGGUAUAGAACUAUAGACCAUUCACUAGAGGUAAAGAACUAUAGAACUAUAGACCAUUCACUAGAGGUAUAGAACUAUAGACCAUUCACUAGAGGUAUAGAAACAAGGGGUGGAGCCCAUGAGGUGGUGGGAGGAGACGGAGGGAUGAGUACAGCUUUGGGAAUUCUGUUCGUCUUUUUUUCCGCCCAACAAGGUGGCUAAAUAGGGUGUGAGCCGUUCUGAGAUGUUGUUGCGGGAAGUAUGUGCCUCUGGGUUACUGGGGAAUAGAUGCUUUAUAAUAGCCUGUGUGUUUCUGGGUAAGGUUGGGCCCUGACUCUUUGUGUUGUUAAGAGGAUUCUAGAACAGGUCAGUUGGUUUCUUACUGUCACAUGUAUGCCGGUGAUCUGAGUCAGACCUUUUAUUUAAU
rnacentral:lncRNA from 1 species